CAGNGGGGGAUAACGUAGCGAAAGUUACGCCCUUUCCGCAUAUUCUCUGAGGAGGAAAGCAGGGGACCUUCGGGCCUUGCGCUGAUAGAGCGGCCGAUAUCAGAUUAGCUAGUUGGUGGGGUAAAGGCCUACCAAGGCGACGAUCUGUAGCGGGUCUGAGAGGAUGAUCCGCCACACUGGGACUGAGACACGGCCCAGACUCCUACGGGAGGCAGCAGUGGGGAAUUUUGGACAAUGGGCGCAAGCCUGAUCCAGCCAUGCCGCGUGAGUGAAGGAGGCCUUCGGGUUGUAAAGCUCUUUCGGCCGGGAAGAAAUCGCACAGGCUAAUACCUUGUGUGGAUGACGGUACCGGAAUAAGAAGCACCGGCUAACUACGUGCCAGCAGCCGCAGUAAUACGUAGGGUGCGAGCGUUAAUCGGAAUUACUGGGCGUAAAGCGUGCGCAGGCGGUUUGGUAAGACAGGCGUGAAAUCCCCGGGCUCAACCUGGGAACUGCGCUUGUGACUGCCUCACUAGAGUACGGCAGAGGGGGGUGGAAUUCCACGUGUAGCAGUGAAAUGCGUAGAGAUGUGGAGGAACACCGAUGGCGAAGGCAGCCCCCUGGGCCGAUACUGACGCUCAUGCACGAAAGCGUGGGUAGCAAACAGGAUUAGAUACCCUGGUAGUCCACGCCCUAAACGAUGUCAACUAGUUGUUGGGGGGGUAAAACCCUUUAGUAACGUAGCUAACGCGUGAAGUUGACCGCCUGGGGAGUACGGCCGCAAGGUUAAAACUCAAAGGAAUUGACGGGGACCCGCACAAGCGGUGGAUGAUGUGGAUUAAUUCGAUGCAACGCGAAAAACCUUACCUACCCUUGACAUGUUCAGAAGUCUCGAGAGAUUGAGAUGUGCCCGAAAGGGAACUGGAACACAGGUGCUGCAUGGCUGUCGUCAGCUCGUGUCGUGAGAUGUUGGGUUAAGUCCCGCAACGAGCGCAACCCUUGUCGUUAAUUGCCAUCAUUAAGUUGGGCACUUUAGCGAGACUGCCGGUGACAAACCGGAGGAAGGUGGGGAUGACGUCAAGUCCUCAUGGCCCUUAUGGGUAGGGCUUCACACGUCAUACAAUGGUCGGUACAGAGGGUUGCCAAGCCGCGAGGUGGAGCCAAUCCCAGAAAGCCGAUCGUAGUCCGGAUCGUAGGCUGCAACUCGCCUGCGGAAGUCGGAAUCG
rnacentral:rRNA from 1 species